rnacentral:rRNA from 1 species
GGGAGCUAGCGUUAUUCGGAAUUACUGGGCGUAAAGCGCACGUAGGCGGCUUUGUAAGUUAGAGGUGAAAGCCUGGAGCUCAACUCCAGAAUUGCCUUUAAGACUGCAUCGCUUGAAUCCAGGAGAGGUGAGUGGAAUUCCGAGUGUAGAGGUGAAAUUC